rnacentral:rRNA from 1 species
ACUCAAAUGAAUUGACGGGGGCCCGCACAAGCAGCGGAGCGUGUGGUUUAAUUCGAGGCUACGCGAAGAACCUUACCUGGGUUUGACAUGGGCUUGAACGAAGGUGAAAGCCGGAGGUUCCCGCAAGGGACAGGUUCACAGGUGCUGCAUGGCUGUCGUCAGCUCGUGCCGUGAGGUGUUCGGUUAAGUCCGCAAACGAGCGCAACCCCCGGGGUUAGUUACAGGUGUCUAACCCGACUGCCCGUGGCAAACGGGAGGAAGGUGGGGAUGAUGUCAAGUCAGCAUGGCCUUUAUAUCCAGGGCGACACACACGCUACAAUGGCGUAUACAAUGGGUAGCGAAGCCGCGAGGCGGAGCCAAUCCUGCAAAGUACGUCUCAGUUCGGAUUGCAGGCUGCAACCCGCCUGCAUGAAGUUGGAGUUGCUAGUAACCGCGCGUCAGCACAGUGCGGUGAAUACGUUCCCGGGCCUUGUACACACCGCCCGU